CAACGCCGCGUGCGGGAUGAAGGCCCUCGGGUCGUAAACCGCUUUCAGCAGGGACGAAAUUGACGGUACCUGCAGAAGAAGCCCCGGCUAACUACGUGC
rnacentral:rRNA from 1 species